AGAGUUUGAUCCUGGCUCAGAACGAACGCUGGCGGCAUGCCUAACACAUGCAAGUCGAACGCCAUCCUCUGGAUGGAGUGGCGCACGGGUGAGUAACGCGUGGGAACCUGCCUUUUUCUGCGGGACAACGAUUGGAAACGAUCGCUAAUACCGCAUACGCCCUACGGGGGAAAGGUCCGCCGGAGAGAGAGGGGCCCGCGUUUGAUUAGCUAGUUGGUGAGGUAAUGGCUCGCCAAGGCGACGAUCAAUAGCUGGUCUGAGAGGAUGAUCAGCCACACUGGGACUGAGACACGGCCCAGACUCCUACGGGAGGCAGCAGUGGGGAAUAUUGGACAAUGGGGGCAACCCUGAUCCAGCAAUGCCGCGUGUGUGAUGAAGGCCUUA
rnacentral:rRNA from 1 species